UUCCUGUGUUCACCGGAGCAGCACUUUUGAUUUCCUUCAAGAACUUUUCCUUGCAUUCACAGCUUGGCUGUCUGUUGCAAGAAGGUUAGCUUCUCGCCUGGUCACCUGAACUCACCUGUCC